rnacentral:rRNA from 1 species
UACGGAAGGUCCGGGCGUUAUCCGGAUUUAUUGGGUUUAAAGGGAGCGUAGGCCGGAGAUUAAGCGUGUUGUGAAAUGUAGAUGCUCAACAUCUGAACUGCAGCGCGAACUGGUUUCCUUGAGUACGCAUAAAGUGGGCGGAAUUCGUGGUGUAGCGGUGAAAUGCUUAGAUAUCACGAAGAACUCCGAUUGCGAAGGCAGCUCACUGGGGCGCAACUGACGCUGAAGCUCGAAAGCGCGGGUAUCGAACAGGAUUAGAUAGUAGUCCGGCUGACUGACU